UACGUAGGGUCCAAGCGUUAUCCGGAAUCACUGGGCGUAAAGCGUGCGUAGGUGGGUUGUUAAGUGCAAUGCGAAAUCCUGUGGCUCAACCAUAUGGACUGUAUUGCAUACUGGCAUCCUAGAGGACAUGAGAGGCAAGUGGAAUUACUGGUGUAGCAGUGAAAUGCGUAGAUAUCAGUAGGAACACCAAUGGCGAAGGCAGCUUGCUGGCAUGUAUCUGACGCUAAGGCACGAAAGCGUGGGGAGCGAACAGG
rnacentral:rRNA from 1 species